AAAAAAAAUGUCACCGUAGCUUUCUGUCUUAGUCCAUUUGGGCUACAAUAUCAAAUCCCAUGAACUGGAUGGCUUCCAAACAGCAAAAUAUUAUUUCUCACUCUUCUGGAAGCUGAGACGUUCAGAAUCAAGAUUUGAUGUCUCGUAAAAAGGGCUGCUUCCUGGUUCAUGAAGGGUGUCUUUUUGCCAUUACCUCACAUGGCAGAGAAGUUGAGGGAGCUCUCUUGGCCUGUUUGACAACGGCAUGAGUCCCAUUCAUCAGGAUUCUGCCCUCAUGACCUAAUUAGCUCCCAAAGGCACCCUCUCCCAAUGAGAUCACAUUGGAGCUUCUGAUUUUAGCAUAAGAACGUUGAGACGACACGUUCAGCCUCACAGCACUUUCUUUCCUGACUGGUACACAGAAGUUGACUUGGUUGUUUUGGUCUGUUUCAUUUUCCAGAAUGCAGCUGAAAUUGUCUCAACCAGUUUGUUGUUUACUGUUUUGUGCACUGUACCUCUCAGCUGAUGGGUCCGGUGGAAGAUCACCAUUCUCUUGGUCACCCGUAAAACCUUACAGCUUUGCUAAGCACUCAAAUCAUCCUCAACUUGUUCAUCAUCUGGUUCCAAGUUUAGCUAAAGAACUGUCUUGUUGUCUUCAGCAUGUUCUCAGUAGUCAUCUCAAUUUGAGUGUUGACCAUUGUGGCAUUAUUCUUACACAUAAAUACUAAUCCUACUAUUUUAGUUUCUUUGGAGUAGAAUAAAUAAGGCAGUUAUAAGCCUGUGCAACACACUCUGACACCCACCAACAUAAACAUCCAGUGGGCUUCUUUCUUCAUAAAUAAAUGAUGAUAUUAUCUUUAGAGCUUAGAAUUAAAAAGUUGUGUUUUGACUGGUAUUUUAUAGAGACAUGGUUAGGAAUGUGCCUAGACUGCCUAGAUGCCAACUCUAAGUCUGCUUCCUAACUUGUAGAACAAAGAUGAUAACAAUUGUACUUUAUUCUUGAAGAUUGAGUGACAGAACUUUUGUAAAGCACUAGCAGAGUUCCUGACAUACAAUAAGCUCACAAUAUGUUGUUAUUAUUAAUGCUGAUCUUGGGAUAAGCAUGCUGUCUGCAUUUGUAGGGAUUUUUGUAUGACAGGAAAUCAUUCGUGACCCCUCAUGCAAAUGGCAAAGGGUUAGAAGAUGAAUUUUCGGUGAAACACCUAUUUCCUUCAGUCAGACACCACUAACAAUUAGCAUUAUCUCUGAAAAGGAGACAUUUAGGAUUAAAUUAAUAACAUAUAAUGGUUUUCUCCUGGCUUUUGACUCCAAAUAGUUGUAUCCAACUAACAGAAUUGAAUUUUUGUUAAAUAUUCUGCAAGUAAAGUAUUGCUUUACUCAUCACUUUGUCCUGUAUCCAGGCAAGGGAGCUUGGUUCUAUGCACAAGAUUGUAGACCUCCCAUACUGCAGCUUUUCAGGACUGUGGUUUGGCUCUGUGGAUAUUCAAAAUUGCUAGAAAAUUUAUCAUGAGAAAAUGCUGACUCAAAAUGCCUGUAUCCUUGAAACAAAAGUAUAUGUCGAAAGAUCAUUGUCGGUACUGGCAUAGCUGUAAAGAAAUUAUAGAAUUCAGUUUUGUAGAGAACCAUAUGGGCUACAAAAUAUCUAUAACAUGACAAUUCCUAGUAUAUAAUGAAUGACAUAUACAAAGAAUUUCUAACUUCAAUUUGCUAUUUUCUAUAACUAACCUCACUCAUAGAGUCAAGUCCUCAAAUGAUUGUCUGUCUGUAGGAAUUUUUACUGCUCCUUUUACAUGUCUUAGUUUAUUUGUUAAAAAAUAUAGGAAGCCCCUCAUUAUUUUGCUUGUUCAACUGUCAAAAUACAGCCAUCAUUCUUACCUGGAAAGAUAUCUAGAAUAUGCAUGAAGGGACUUAGUAGUUCAUGGAAAGUGCACAUUAUCUUUUAAUUCCAUUUUUCAUGAACUCUUGAAGUCCCUAUGUAUGAAGGGUAUAAUAUUUAUUGAAAAGUGUAUAUGUGUGGUAUGUGUGUGUGCAAGAAUAUACAUCUAGAAAUAGGACAAGUUAGGAAGGUUAUGUACUAAAUAAUUUCUUCUGGUGGACAUAUGUUUGAAGAGCAAUGGGAUAAGAAUGUUCACUUCCUUUAUUAAUUAAUAAAACAGGUGCGGUGUCUAAUUUACUUGUUUGAAAGUUUAACUCCAAGGUCAUGAAUAGCGAAGGGAUCCAGAGUGAAAGCAGGAAGAGCAAACAGGUGGCAUCUCAGUGAAUGGUGCUGUUGGCUGGCACCAUAAUGAGAUGAAGUGAAAAUGAAGGUGAAACCCUAGAUUUGGAACACAUUUUUCAUGUAGAGGAAACAACUUACUGACAGAGAAGGAGCAAACUGAGAACAGUGGAAUAAAGGAUGACCCUUAGAAUUGGGGCUUGAGAAAUUGAAUAAAUGGUGGUGUUGCGUCUGAGCUCAGAGUCCGGCUCAUUCAGACAGGUGUGCAGCACCACCAGGGCCUGCUGCACAUCACUGUCCUCCACUGUUUACCAAGUGCUUUCCACGGACAAGGCAUCAGAGGUUUAGGAGUAAUUUAAAAGGACUCAAUCUCAUGAAACUUAGAGGGAGGAACUAGACAAUAAAAUAAAUAAAUAUGGAAUAAGCCACACUAUGUAAUAGUUCUACUAGGCAUCACUAAUACAUUAAGUUUAUUCAUUUAAAUAAUAGUUAUAGUAGGUGGUACUAUUCAGCUAGCCAUAGACUAGAAAAUGAGUUGGUGCCUGAUCGUAUGUGCCCUGCUAAAAAGUCUGAUUUUCACAAUGUAUUGUUUUUGGAAUAUAGAGAUUUGAAUGAACUGAAAAGUGAGCUGUGUUCUGGGUUGAUGCUGCCAUUUUGUGGUACAAUCUUUGUUUUCUAACAAAGUCCCUGAAGGAAUUCAGAAUUUCUUGGGCAAAAUCAGUGAUUUAGCAUGUUUAAGCAUUACUUUUAUUAAGAACUGUCUCCUUCACAAGACUCAGUGAAAUGAAGGGGAUCAAACAUCUAAGCCUGGUGUUUUUUUUGGGAAGAAUAAAGAGUUUUCUUCAGUGAGUACACUUUUUUCCUGAAAAUUUAUUUUUUUGCUUGAUAACUGGCUCUAGAUAAUUUCAUAUGAGUCAUUUCAGAGAAUUGCUUUUUAUUUUGUUCAAUUGCAUCUUUUUUUCUAUGUCAUGAUUUUUUCUUUUUUUUUUUUUUAAAGAUUUAUUUAUUUAUUUGAAAGUCAGAGUUACACAGAGAGAGAAGGAAAGACAGGGAGAGAGAGAGAAAGGUCUUCCAUCUGCUGGUUCACUCCCCAGAUGGCUGUAAUGGCCGGAGCUGUGCUGAUCCGAAGCCAGGCGCUUCUUCAGGGUCUCCCACGCAGAUGCAGGGGCCCGAGGACUUGGGCCAACUUCUACUGAUUUCCUAGUCAACAGCAGAGAGCUGGAUUGGAAGUGGAGCAGCCAAGACUUGAACCAGUGCCCAUAUGGGAUGCCAACACUGCAGGCAACGGCUUUACCUGCUGCACAAUGGCGCCAGCCCUCUAUUUCAUAAUUUUUUAACUUUUAUCUUUAUUAUUUGUUCCAUUUUAUUUUCUUUGGGCUUACUCUGGUCUUUUUCUACUUUCCUGGGUGGAACACAUAGAUAUUUACUUUUGUUUUUUUCUUGUUUUACAUGCAUGUUUUUGUAAGGAUAGAAUUUUACCACUCAAUAUUGCUUUACAACAGGGUUCAAAAUUUGCUUUGUAGCAUUUGGAUUGCAGUUAAUUCUAAAUAUUGUAUCAUUUUGAUUGUGAUUUUUCUAUUUAAUUCAUGGCUUAUUUAAAAAUUAGUUUUCAGUUUACAAACUUUUUUUCCUCCUUAAGAUUGUUGAGAUUUAAUUUAAUUAUUUUCAGUCAAAUAAUCUGAUGCAUGAAUGUUAAUUCCUAGGAACUUAUGAGACUUCCUUUGUGACUUAAUAAUUCAUCAAUUUUUGUGUAUGUUCCCAAGAGAAAUGAAUGUUCUUUUUUGCGGUCAGGGUAAUUAAUCACAUUUUUCAAACUGAUUGUGAUCUUACUAAGUUUCUGUCUUCUUGACCAGUCAGCCUCUGAAGAGAUAUCUUAAAAUCUUCUCCUUUGGCUGCAUGUUUAUUAAUUCUAUGUAAUUCUCUCUUAUAGGCACUGAAGUUCUGUUUUUUGGUGUAUUCAAGUUCAUGAGUAUUGGUUCUUCCUGGAAAAUAAUUCCUUUUAUCGCUUUGUAGUAUGUCUCUUUAUCUCUCAGUUUCUCAUCUUAAUCUUAUUUGUCAAAUAUCAGUAUAAACAUUUUUUUAAAAGUAGGCUUCUUUUAGUAUAUAUUUUUCUGGUAUAUAUUUUACCAUACUAUUAUUUUUGGAUUUUUGUUUGUUUUAGUGUGUUUCAUGUAAGGAACAUGACAACAUAUACCCAGAUUUUGUUUUUGUUAUGCCAUUCCAAGUGAAUAGUGAUUCUUUGAUGAAUGAGUUUAAUGUAUUUAUAUUUAAUGUGAUUAUUGAUAUAUUCAGAUUAUUUCUGCAAUCCCAUUUUGUGUUUUGUUUUUGGGUGUUAUGUUUUAUAAUUUUAGCAGAAAUAUACAAAUUUUACAUGUUUAUACGGUACUUAUAUGAUGUUUUUGUACAUCUAUAUAUUGUAUAGUAUCCAAUCAAGGUGAAUAUAUUUAACAUUUCUUUAUAGUGAAAACAUACAAAAUCCCAUCUUCUGGCUUUAUUUCCGAGAAAUAUAAAGUACAUUAUUGUUAUCUAUAGUCACUCUCCUAUGCAAAAGAACUCCAGAACUUCUUACUCCUAGCCAUCUGUGUAGCAUAUCAAUCAGUGUUUCCUUUUCCCUCUCUGCUUUGCUCCUUAGUCUCUGGAAAUAACCACUAUAUAUAUGCAUGUGUGUAUACACAUAUGUGUGUGUAUUUAUAUACAUAUAUGUAUGAUUUAUUUAUUUAUUUGAAAGGCAGGGUGACAGAGAGAGAAAAAAUCUUCCAUCUACUGAUUCAGUCCCCAAGUGCCUGCAACAGCACUUGGCUGAUCCGGGCUGAAGCCAGGCGCCCAGAACUCCAUCUAGGCCUCCCACGUGUGUGACAGACAGGAAAGGUGUGAAGCACCUUCCACUGUUUUCCUGGGUGCAUUAAUAGAAAGCUGAACUGGUACUUGGAUAUGGGAUGCCAGUAACACAAGAGGAGGCUUAACGCACUACAGUACAGUGCUGGCCCCACCACCACUUCAUUUUUAACUUCUAUGAGAUCAUCUCUACAUACAAGUGACAUCAUGAUCAUGUAAAAGUGUCUGUGCUUGGCUUAUUUAAUGUAACAUAAUGACCUUCAUUACCCUCCAUGUUGUUGCAGAUGACAAGAUUUCAUCCUUUUUAUGGAUGAAUAAUAUUCCAUGUGUGUAUAUUGCAUUUUCAUUAUUUAUUCAUUGGUGGAUGGACAAUUAGUUUGUUUCCAUUUCCUGGCUAUUGUGAACAAUGCUGCAAUAAACAUGGGAGUGCAGAUGUUUCUGUGGCAGAUGGAUUUCAUUUCCCUGUGAUGUACAUACCCAGAUGUGAGAUUGUAGAAACAUCUGGUAGUUCUAAUUUUAGUUUUUGAUGGACUUCCAUACUUUCUUCCACAAUGGCUGUACUGAUUUGCGUUUCCGCCAAUAGUGUACAAGUAUUCUCUUUCUUCCACAUCCUCACACACACUUGGUAUCUUUAAUGUUUGUGAGAAUAGCUAAUCUAACUGGAGUAGGGUGGCAUUUUCCUUGUAGUUUUAUUUGCAUUUCCCUGGUAACUAGUAGUAUUGAGCUGUUUUGUAUAUUUUACUCAUAUUUUUCCCCCUGCUUCUAUUUAUUUCCCUACCUUUUGGCAUUAAUGAAAUGUGUUCACUUUUCUCACUCUGCUAAUUUCAGAGUUAUAACUUAUCUUUCUAUUUUAAGUAAUUGUCUUUUAUAUUCCACGGUAUAGUAAAAUAUGAAGUAAUUUAGUACCUGUGAUAUUUUUUCCAGGGAAAAUCCAAAUAUUUCGGCAUACUGUAACACCUUUCAAGUUCUUUCCUGUGGUCUUUGAUAUUAGUAUUGCACUGAGUCUUAGUUCUAUCUUUCUGAUUAAUAUAAAAAUUGGGUCUUAAUUUGUAUUGUAUAUUUUUAGUGAAUAAAUAAUUAAAUUUACACUCUCUUUUGCUGUUAUGUUUGCUCAUCAUUGCUGCUUACACCACACUCUGUCCUAUAGUUAAUUUUUAUCUUUAAUUUAUUUUUUAAUUUUUUUAUUUUUUGACAGGCAGAGUGGACAGUGAGAGAGAGAGAAAGAGAGAAAGGUCUUCCUUUGCCGCUGGUUCACCCUCCAAUGGCCGCCGCGGCCAGCGCGCUGCGGCCGGCACACCGCGCUGAUCCGAUGGCAGGAGCCAGGUGCUUAUCCUGGUCUCCCAUGGGGUGCAGGGCCCAAGUACUUGGGCCAUCCUCCACUGCACUCCCUGACCACAGCAGAGAGCUGACCUGGAAGAGGGGCAACCGGGACAGAAUCCGGCGCCCCGACCUGGACUAGAACCCAGUGUGCCAGCGCCGCAAGGCAGAGGAUUAGCCUAGUGAGCCGCGGCGCCAGCCCCUAUAGUUAAUUUUUAUUUUCACUAAAUUUCAUCCUUUAAUAGUUUUUUUCAGUGAAGUUUUGUGGGUAAUAAACUGUUGCAGUUUUUGAACAACUAAAAAUGGCUUUUUUUGUUCUCACUCCUGCAUAAUAAUUUAAUGAAGUAUAGAAUUCUAGGUCAAUAGUUCUUUUCUUCUUUCUAGGACUUUAAAGUUAUUGGUUCCUAGACUUUCAGUCUCCAUUGUUGCUUGUAAGAAAUGUGUUGUACCCAUAAGUAUGUGGUUUCUGACAGAUGAUCAGUUUCUCCUCUCUUGUUAGCUUCUAACAUAGCUGCACUUUCAUCAAGAUCAGUUGAGCUGUAGAUAUUCUGUAUUUCUUUAAUUCUGGUAAAUUCUGUUAUUUUCUUUUCUAUGAAAUCCUACCUCCCGGCCUUUGCUGUUAGCACAUACUUCUGGAACCGCUCUCAGGUGAGUGAUGAAGUCUAUCAACGCUGCACUUCAUCUGUGCCUAAACAUUUGCCCAUCUUCUCCUAUCCUGUCCUGCUGCCUUUACUUCUGCAGGUUUUACCUGAGAACAACCUGUCUAUGAAGUACUUGCUUCUAAGAAGCUGUGCUUCUAGGACCCCCAGCUAAGUAACUUCUCAAAGUCACAUUGUAGUCAAGUACUGGAGCCACUGUCCUAACCUCGGCACUGCAGCGCCCACGGGAAAGGGGUUUUCAAGUUGGGCAGGCAGAAUGGGGUCAGUAGUGUCCCAGCCACAGAUGCGCUGGACCCUCCUCUAUGCUACCUGCCAGCAGCUCUCAGCGGACAGCCUUCCCCAGCCGCUACUCUCCUGCCGGAACGCGAUGGUCUGCAGGCCGUGGCUUGGCUGCAGGGCUGCUUUCCUGAUCCUCCUGCUCCUCCAGUUGAAUGCCACACCACCAGUGUCGCUGAACUUCUUCGGCUCUGUCCGCCUUGGGGAGCGUGGGAGUCUGGUCGUCCUCUGUCUUCUUUUCAACCUCUUGUUCUGGCACAGAUGCUGUGCCCUCCUUCCUCUAAAGCCUUCUCUUUUUGGUUCUUAAAAGCCUUUUCUUUUCUGAAAAUCCUUCCUCUUGCAUUUCAAAAACUUUGGCUUUCAAAAGUAUUGUUUCAGAUCUGGGAUCAAGAGCUUAUUUUGGAAGUUAGAACUGAACACUGUUUCUUUCUGUAUUUCAGCUCUCCUCAUUCUCCUUCAGGAUCUGUGGGAGCUCUCCUGGAGUAGGAGACAUGCAGACGCUUGUAUUUCAAGAUGCUUUCCUGUCGUGGUGUUCAGAUGCACCAGCUCGAAGCCUGGCGUAGAGUAGACUCAACAUAAGUCAUUGACUGCCAGAUAUUCAAUGGGAAGUCACCAACAAGGCACGGAUGCUGUCUCUCUUUGUCGCCUCUGGAAGAAAUAUUACAGGGUGGUGGUCGGGAUGCGGAGCAGCCUGGAGUAUUUUCCAGAACGACUUGAUGUUUUAAAAGGUAAAUAGGAGGAAAGCAGCCCUUCAAUGGGUAAUUGACACUGUUUGUGACGUUUUUAUUACUUUUCAAUUAGGGAAGGUGAUAGAACAUUGCGUUAGCAGAAAGUCUUGGCUUCAUUAGAAGCAUAUGUUGGUUAAUGUUGUAGAUGAACAAGGUUAAAUCAGUUGCCACCUUUUCCUUUUUACUUGUUGGCAGAUGGAGAUAAAAUCUGUGAUAAAUGAGCAAUUAGACACAGAACUCAUUGUUUUUUUCUAGAGAAACGUGUUCUCUUUUGCUUUCCUCAUCACUUAAUUUUGAUUUCCAGACUGUCCAGUGCAGUGCCCGAGUGCGUGACUGCUCAUUACAUACAUACUGCAUUUUACCCAUGUGUUCAUACCACACAGCCUUGCAUGCCUUUUGUAAAGUGUUCUUUGGACUAGAAAGCAGAUAGAUUUAAGUGCUUCACAAUUAAGAGUCAGGACCUUGCACCUAGGGGACAGAAACGUGUCAAUUAAUUAGUGAGGCAGUCUUUAUUGAGCACAGCUAUGAGUCCCAUUUUCCUGACGGGAGAUUUGUGGCCCAGAGGAAAUUAAGAUCAGUUCAACAGGAGGGCUAAUUGCACAGAUGUCACUGGAAGGCAAUUAGUAUCCUCUAAACCCAGGUUUCUGCUCUCCAGCCUUUAUUUCCUCAUAAUUAUAGCAUUGCUUUAGUAAUAGCUGCCCCACCUUGUAUUGUUGUGUAUUCUGGGGCAAUUUAACUUCUCUGACCCUCAGUUUCCUAAUUUGCAUGGUAAGAGAUGAUGAUACAGAUUGAGUGAGUGUUCUUUACUCAAAAUGCUUGGGACCAGAAGUGUUGAGAUACUCAGAAGUUUUAGAAUAUUUGCAUUUAUAAAAUGAGAUAUCUCAGGGAGGAGACCCAAAUGUAAACAUGAAAUUCAUCUCAUGUAUACCUUAUAUACAUAGCCCACAGAUAAUUUUUUAACAUUGAAUUUCUAACUUUGUUUAUUCCUUUAUUUGAAAGACACAGAGAAAGAGGGAGAGAGAGAUAUAUAGAGAUCUAGAGAUCUAGAGAUCUUCUAUCUGCUGGUGCACUCCCCAAGUGCCUGCAGCAGCCAAGGCUAGGAUCCUGGAACUCAAUCCAGUUUCACAUGUGAGUGAUAGGGACCUAACUACUUGAAUUAGCAGGAAGGCAGAGCUGGAGCUUGGAGUAAAACCCAGAACUCUGGUAUGAGAUGUGGGCUUUGAAAGCAGCAUCUUAACCUCUGCACUGAAACCAACCCUUGAAGGUAAUUCCGUACAAUAUUUUUAGUGUACUUGCAUUUUGACUAUGAUCUGUUAUAUGAGGCAAGGUGUGAAAAUUUUCAUUUGUGAUCAGGGCUCAAAAUGUUUUGGGUUUUAGAACAUUUUGGAUUUUGAAAUCUUGGAUUAGUGAUACUCAACUUUUGCCUUCUUUGCAAGGUUUUCAUGAAGGUUAAAUGAAGUUUUAUUGGUCAAAUGGUUAGUAUGAUGCUUGCUGGAUCAGAGUAAUUAGUUGAGGAAUGCAAGUAAGAAACAAUAAUAGAUAAUCAGAAUUUCAUGCUUGCAGAUGAGAAACUUACUGGGUCUGGGGUCGCAGAAGUUUGUUUGUGCCAAUGGUGACCGAGCCUGAGAAACCCACCCCCCCUUCCUGUACACUAGCAGAGUUUGUGCAUGGUGAACUUUCAAGGAGGACAGAGUCCUGAAGUGGAGAGCCGUCAUCCCUGCAUGAUGUCUGUGUCAGCUGGAAAGACUGACCUGGCCCCUGGUGCUCAGGGGCCGGUUAUCUCAGACUGCCUCUCUCUAGGUGGCUCCCAUUCUCAAUUUGAAGCACACCGAGCUGGGACUCAUGUUCAUGUUCAAAGGAGCCUGGUAACUGAUUGCAAGCGUCUUUCACAGUUUGUGGCUCCUUCUGACCAGCAGCUGAGGGCCUCAGGGAGAUGAUGGGGGCAUGUCCUUGUGGAAGUGAGUUGUGGCUGGGGUGAGCAGAGUGGAUAUUUCAGCUUAUCUUAGAUGAAGAGGGUUGUAGACUGCUGGGCCCGGCAUCUGUCAGCUCCUUGGCAUGGCCACGCCUGGCCUGGUUCAGUGACUGAGAAAAGACAGUGGGGGGUUUGAAUGUUUGCCUGUACUGGUUCCUUGAAUGGAAAAACUGCUCACAGUUAUCACUUAAAUGAUUAUUAUUUAAGUUAUCCCAUGACUGGAAUUUGGGGAGCUGGAGUCUAGGUUCCAGAGCCAGGUUCCUAGAAUCACCUUGCCUCCACCUACAGCCCCUGGAGGCUGGAAGAGGUGAGCAGACAUCUGCCUAGGCUUGCUGAGAAGAGUUGCCAUGGGCACUGCAGAAAGAGGCAACUCUUUCGGAAUUAGAAAAGAAUGGUGCAGUGAGGGCUUAUUAUGUAGAGAAAUUUUGUGGUCUCUCAAGACAGUGUCCUGUAGGCAGUUCUCCAACAGAACAAAAUCGCAAGUACUAAUGCUUUGUUGUUUAGAUUAUUUCCAAAACCUCUUUUGAAAAGUGGGUCUGCAGUUAUAACCCAAAGACUUCCGGUUGCUCCAUUUAGAGAAGUUUGGGGUAUAGAGUUUACCAGAGCAACCUUGCUGCUUUAUAGACUUGGUCAAGUUCCAGUCUCUCAUUUGAGCAUGAGAUCUUGGGAGGGGUACUUCACCUUUCAGAACCUUAGUGCACAAAAUAGGGAAAAUGAUCCUUAUUCCAGGGCUUUGUUAAAUGCAUAGAAAUAGGUACUUGUACUUGACACUGGGCAGAUGAACAGAGUCAGUGCUCUCAGUGUAAGGCAGCUAUUGAUGAUGUUAUUAUUAACACUUUGUUAACUGAUACAGUUGGAAUAAAAAAAGGAAAUUGGUAGAGCUUUGUAGUACAACAGGACCAGCAGUAUUCUGGGCUUCAUGUAGCUUCGUCUCACCCUCACCCCAUCCUGCCUGAUGGGUAUCAUUGAGCAUUUUGUGCAGGGAGAAAUUAGGUGGCUAAUGUAUUCUGUUAACUGGGAGAGCAACAGAGUCAAGAUUUAGGCCCAGGAUCAUCUAUUGUGACAGCUCAUGUUUUCACUAAGGGUGCAGUGUCUAUCUACUUCAAGUCACAUAGACCUUAAAUGCUUCAUGGGUGGCUUAUGCCAUUAGGACACCUUCUGUGGGCUGCACAACUUCUUUUUUGGUUUAACUCCCCACCUUUGCUCAUGUUGUUUUCUUGUACGUAUUAUUUUCUAAGUGAAUUGAGCCAUGACUUUUCUGAUCUUUAAGGCUGGGCAAAUGGGCCUUCAUGAACUUCCAAAUCACUUGCUGUACACACCUCCAUCAUCACACCUAACCCUCUGGCUUGUAAUAGCUUGUGGAUCUGCCUGCUCCCUUGACUGUCAUCCUGAGAGUGCUAUUCCCUGUACUCCAGUACCUAUCAUAGGGCCUGACCACAAUGAAGGUCAAUAAAUGCUCAUUAAAUUAAACUAAACUUAACUCAUAGAUGUAGUUUCCAAACUCAUGUUCCUCUAUUUCUUUAUCUAUAAAAAAGAAGUGGAAAAACCUACUCAGAAUGAUUUUAUGAUUUUUUUUAUUUUAAAGAUGUUUUAAUUAUUUGAAAGAGUUAGAGAGAGAGGUAGAGACACAGAGAGAGGUCUUCUAUCCACUUGUUCACUCCAUAUGGCUUCGACAGUCAGAGCUGCACUGAUCUGAAGCCAGGAGCCAGGAGCUUUUUCUAGGUCUCCCAUAUGGGUACAGGGGCCCAAGGACUUGGGCCAUCUUCUACUGCUUUCCCAGGCCAUAGCAGAGAGCGGGAUAGGAAGUGGAGCACCCAGGACACGAACUGGCGGCCACAUGGGGUGCCGGCGCUUCAGGCCAGGGUAUUAACCCACUGUGCCACAGCGCCGGCCCCUUAUGAUUUUUUUUUAAUUUGAAAGACAGAGUGACAGAGAGAGCAAGAGCGAGAGGAGGAGGAAGAGGAGAGAGAGAGAGACAGAGACAGGUAAAUCUUCUGCCCACUGGUUCACUCCCCAAAUGCCUGCAACAGUUGGGGGUGGGUCAGGUCAAAGCCAAAGCCCAGAACUGUGUCCUGGUCUCCCACGUGGAUGGCAGGGACCCAAGAACCUGCUGCUUUCCCAGACAUAUAAGCAGAAAGCUGGAUGGGAAACAAAGUGCCCUGGAUAUGAACCAGUGCUCACAUGAAUAUAUUCAAUAUUUGCUUAUUAAAAGCUGUGUUCCUAAAUGCAUAUAAAGAAACAGGACACAUCAACUGAGUGUAGACUUAAAUAUAUUUAAUUAAAAGUUAAUAUCCAGGCCGGCGCCACGGCUCACUAGGCUAAUCCUCCACCUGCGGCACUGGUAGUCCGGGUUCUAGUCCCGGUUGGGGUGCUGGUUCUGUCCCAGUUGCUCCUCUUCCAGUCCAGCUCUCUGCUGUGGCCCGGGAAGUCAGUGGAGGAUGGCCCAAGUGCUUGGGCCCUGCACCCACAUGGGAGACCAGGAGGAAGCACCUGGCUCCUGGCUUCAGAUCGGCGCAGUGCGCCGGCAGAAGCAGCCAUUGGGGGGUGAACCAACAGAAGGAAGACCUUGCUCUCUGUCUCUCUCUUUCACUGUCUAACUCUGCCUGUCAAAAAAAAAAAAAAAAAAAAAAGUUAAUAUCCAGCCAACAUUUAAAGUUUUGCAUGUUUUGUGCUAAAAAAAGGAGUAAAUUACAUCCUUUGAAAAAACAUUUCUGGUAAAGAAGCAUGUAGACUAAAAGACAAUAAUUCCGUCUCCUCCACUCUCAGAUCUGUUUCUAGAGAUAACUGCCACUAUUAAUCUUGUUUUUUUUAGACCAAUAUUGGCCAACAGAAAUUUCUGGGUUGAUGGACGUGUUCUAUGACUGUGCUGUGUAACACGGAGUAUGUACUAGCCAUUUGUCACUGUCAAACACUUGAAAUGCAGCUAGUGUGACUGAAGACUGUAACUGCUAAUAGAAUUUAAAAAUAAAUAAAAAAUUAAUUUAAUAUUAAUGACAUUAUUUGAUAUGUAAAUAGCUAUAUGUGGCUGGUCAUUGUCCUAUUGGGCAGUAAAGGUCUAUUUAUACCUUUUUUUGGAAAGUGCACCCUUUUUGUUCAAUGAAAAAAAUGAAAUUUUUAAAAACAUAAUUUACUUAUAUCAGUCAACAAAGCAAGCCUGGAGACUACUUUUACGAAGAACAUGGUGGCUUUGCCCAAUUGGGUUUGUGUGUGGUACUGAGUAGGGAAUUUGCCGUUUUCUUCUAAGACCACAGAGGAAUAUGGUAAGAGAGAUGUGCUCUAGCAGGGCUUCGAGGAGGCAGGCGGGCGGACCGGCGCUCAGCUGCGGUCCAGAGGUCCCGCUCUCCAGCCCGGCGGCGCCCUCGAUCCGCUUCCGGGCCUGGGCACUUCCUGCGCCUGUGCGCAUGCGCGCAACUGGCCCGCACGCCCGACGCCUGGAAGCUGCCCACGCCGUUCUCGCGCGACGACUGCAGCCGCUUCUACCUGGCCUCCUCUCUCCCGACUUGGCGUGGCCAUCUCCUUCCGGGACAAGUGUCAGGUCGAAGGGAAUUUGGUUGACACCCCCACAAUUCUACGAAAUAAGAAGACAUGAAAACUUUGCCUCUCUGCCUGACUUGGAGAUCUUUUGUUUGGCUCAUGCAUGAGAAGGAGUGGAGAAAUGGCUGCCAGUCAAGAUUAUUGACGGCUGGUGGCAUGGUCGAGCUUUUACAGGAGAUGAACUAUACUUGGAAAAUUCAGAGUUUUCAAGAAAAACUUUUGUCUACUGGAAAAAAUACAGAAGUCAUAAAGGAAUGCAGGAAAUUUCACUGAAUAGUGAUAUACAACCACCGUCUUUGUAAUACCCAUGUGACUUCAGCCGAGGUAGAGUUACAGACAGAGAGAGAGACAGAGAGAAAGGUCUUCCUUCCAUUGGUUCACUCCCCAAAUGGCCACUAUGACUGGUGCUACACCAAUCCGAAGCCAGGAGCCAGGUGAUUCCUCCUGGUCUCCCAUGCGGGUGCAGAAGCCCAAGCACUUGGGCCAUCCUCCACUGUCUUCCCGGGCCACAGCAGAGAGCUGGACUGGAAGAGGAGCAACCGGGACUAGAAUCCGGCGCCCAUAUGGGUUGCAGGCGCCGCAGGCGGAGGAUUAACCAAAAAGUGUUUCUGACUUCUGGUUCAGGAAAAAUGGUAGAAAUGGAAGAACUGAAAUCUCAGAAAUGUUACCUAUCUGUGUGAGAGUGAAUUUUCUCCAUAUACAUACGAGAAUAACUUGGUAUAACAGAUUGAAUGCACAAGCAGGUAAGAGAAUACAGAGCAACCACCACCUAGAGAUUGUCAGACCUGAGUAUGCCUUUGUGUAAUUCCAUGCUAUGUAAGCAAAUUGCACGUUUACAUUGAUGGUGGGUGUCAGAACCAAUACAGUGUAUGCAAAGAUAAACAUUCUGAUUUGACUCUAUGAAAUUUAUUGUAAUCACUAUUUCUGAAAAUACUAUACAUUAAUGAUAAUUAUUAUGCUUUAAAAAUUACUGUGAAAAUAUUUAAAUAAGUGUGGCAUUGUUCUUGUCCUAUACCUAAUUUCAUUAGUACACACAACUCUUUACUAACAGCUUCCAAACAAUAUAGAGGACAUAGCUUUAAGUGUAAGUCUGUUUUCAGUCUUUGGUCAAGCAGUUUUAAUGUCCAGAUUUCACUUGUUGUUUAUAAACUGAGGAAUUUGGGUUAGAUUGUUUCUAAUAUUACUUCCAUAUUGUUUCUAAUAUUAUUUCCAUGUUGUUAAUAGCCUUAACUCUGAAGUUCUACCACUGAACCCAGGAAACACUUGGAAUUUCAGAAUUCCAAGCCUAUGGAUUGACUGUCUCUCUGAAAGUGGCAGCAUGAUUUCUUUAAUAUCUUAAACUCAUUUUUCUGACUUUUCAGUCAUUUCUGAAAAUUUUUUGAUUAGCAUAACUUUUCUUUUAGCCAAGCAGUGAUAUCCUUUUAAAGGCUGCAAUUAGUUGAUUGAAGAAACCACCAAAUGAAACCAUUAACUACUUAUUACAUUGAAAACUUGGUUGAUGCUGUUUGGGUCUACUCAUGAGUUAACAGUGGAUGUAGUAAUGAUUGCCAGUCAAGAAUCCUCUGGGCUAAUGUAGGCAUCUUGCAAGUACCACACAAAAGACCAACUAGAGUUCUUUCAGAGAUUGCUGAUUUUUCUCCUAUUUCCAAGGUGAAGGAGUAACAAGGGGAUGGGAGUGGAAUCUAAUAGGAAAGAAUCCUCUUUCUGAGCCAGAGAAGCAAUCCAUUUAAGGAAAGUGAAAUGUAGGUGUUAACAGAAGUAAUGGAAAUGUUCAGUAGAUCCAACAAUAAAAUCAUUGCCAAGAUUAUCACCUCUAUAUUGUUUAAAUCUCCUAGGAUCUCUUGCAGCUCUCAUUAAGGUAUAGCUAGCGGCAUAGAAAUUGUGUCUUAGGACAAUACAGCUCCAUGAAAUAGUCUUUUAAAUAUUUUUGUUGAUUUAUUUUUAUUUAUUUGAAAGGAGGAGAGAGAGAGAGAGAGAGAGAAAGGAGACAGAGAUCUUUCAUUUGCUAGUUCAUGUCCCAAAUGCCCUCAACAUCCAAGGUCUGAGCCAGGCCAUAGCCAGGAAUCUGGAACUCAAUCCAGGUCUUACACGUGGGUAGCAGGGAACCAAGUACUUGUGCCCUUCCCUGCUGCUCGCACGGUACACAUUAGUAGGAAUUUAGAAUCAAGAGCAUAGCUGCAGUGAAACUCCUGCGCUGAUGGCAUUGAUAUGGGUUGCAUACAUCCCAGGUGGUAUCCUAAUUGCUAGGCCAAAUGCCUGCCUCUCUAGGAAAUCCACUUCUGUUGUCAACAUUGCAUAGAAAAGGAGAUGGAGCUCUACUAACAGAAUUUGCUUCUUAUUUUGUUUUCCUUUUCAUUAAACAAAUUCCCAUCUGUGUACAAGAUGUAUUCAAUGUGGGAUCUAAUUUACAAGGAGGUGCAAGUAGACUCAUCAUUCAAGAAUGAUGUGCUUACAUUAUUGUCCUUUUUAAUUAAGAAGCACGGAAGAAAUAAUGUGCACAUUUUAAUAUAAAAUACACCAAACUUACAGACUUACCAGCUAUUACAUACAGUGCCUCAUUAUGCCUGUGUGUUAAUGAAGCCUUUAUUAGGCAUAAAAUUACCAUCAGUUGCAGGACAGGAACAGCAACCUACUCUUCAGGGGGUGAGUCAAGUCCAUAUGGUGGUCAAAGAAGGACUUAUUCCAGAAGAAAGACAAUGGGUAUGACUUAUUAGCAUGCCCCUAAUUGCCUUGUGGUUGGUGUCAAUAUCCUCGUAGAUUCCUGAUCCACCUGAAGCAAACAGCAAACAAGAAAGUGGAGUCCUUGGAAGAGGUCCCAAUAGCUGGAAAACCUGCCUUAGACAGAUCCUGGGUGAUAGUGCUUCCUGCUGUCAGUGUGAACUAGACGGAAUCAAAUGGAGCUUUGCUUUUUGCUUUGUCUUGUUUUUAUUUUUAAAUUUUUUUAAGGUGAACAACUUCCAUGUAUUUCAUAUAUACAGAUUUAGGACCUUAGUAAUACUUCCCACCCUACCCUCUCUCUUACCCACCCUCCUCCUUCCUUUAAUUUUUACAAUGAUAUACUCUCAGUUUAUCUUAUAAUAUUAACCCCACACAAAAUAAAGAAUUAAACAGUAAGAAGAAAAAAAAAACACUUCAACAGUAGAGACAAGGGCUGUAAAAAUCACCAAAUCUCAAAGUGUCAGUUUUAUUCAUAUACAUUACAUUGUUUUGGCUUUCUUAGUUACCACAGAUCAUGGAAAACAUACAGUAUUUGUCUUUUGGGGGCUGGCUUAUUUCAUUAAGUAUAAUCAUUUCCAUUUCCAGUUGCAUUGCUUUUGUUGCAAAAGAGAGGAUUUCAUUUUAUUUACAUCUGAGUAGUAUUCCACAUAUAAUUUCUUUAUGCAGUAAUCAGUUGAUAGACAUUUGGGUUGAUUUCACAUCUUAGCUAUUGUCAGUUGAACUGCAAUAACUCUUUCAUAUGUUGAUUUCAUUUGGGUAAAUUCCCAGGAGUGGGAUGGCUGGGUCAUGUGGUAUAUCUAUUUUCCCCUUUCUGAGGUAACUCCAUACUGAGUUCCACAAUGGCUGUACUAGUUUACAUUCCCACCGGCAGUGGAUUAGGGUACCUUUUCUACCACAUAGCACUUUCCCCAAAAAGUCAAACACAGAGGCAAUUUCCUGUUACAGAAGUGCAUAUGCAUAAGAAGUUGAAGAAGAAAAGGACUCACUGUCUCUCUGUUUUCGAAGGUUUAGUGAAGAAGAAUCUUCCAUGAUUUGAUUUCUGCUACUUUUCACAACCAGUCAGGGGAAGAUCACAGGUCUUCCUAUUUGGUAGAUCAAAGCUGUUUUACAGUCUGUCUGAAUUUGAAGGGCAGUCCAAUCUUGCGUGUCUGCACCUAUGGAUCUCUUUUUGGAAAACUACCCCUAUAGCAACGAUAUGGUUGAACUCUGUUUCCAUCCACCUAGUUAUUGCUCCACAUGUGGUAAUAGUGACAACUGAAAAAAUCUUUUUCAUCUCAAUCCUACUGAUGAGUGUAUCAGUGGAAACAUGUACUUGGAAGUUGCAGACAUGCAAAUACAUGAGCAUAGAUCUGUGCCUGGUAAAUAGUCACGCACAGUUCAUAAUAGAUACCGACUUCUUGAUGGUAUGGACCAGCCUUUCUGCAAUAGCCAGUUUAUAAGUAGAAUAUAAACUGCAGAAUUCUAAGAAAGUUAGAUUGGAAAAGGAAUACUUGGGGCCGGUGCUGUGGCAUAAUGGAUAAAGCUGCCGCCUGCAGUGGUGGCAUCCCAUAUGGACACCGGUUAGAGACCCAGCUGUUCUCUGCUAUGGCCUGGGAAAGCAAUAGGAGGUGGCCCAAGUCUUUGGGCCCCUGCACCCACGUGGGGGACCUGGAGGAAGCUCCUGGUUCCUGGCUUCGGAUUGGCGCAGCUCCGGCUGUUGUGGCUAAUUGGGGAGUGAACCAGUGGAUGGAAGACCUCUCUCUCUAUCUCUUUGUUUCUCUGCCUCUCCUUCUCUCUCUGUAUAAUUCUUACUUCCAAAUAAAUAAAUAAAUAAAUCUUUAAAAAAAGAAUAAAAAGGACUACUGUUACCUCCUAUGCCCAAGUACCUAAUUUUAAGCAAUCAUGAAUGACUACCAGCUAUGCAAGUACUAUAUUGUUUUCCUAAGGAUAAACCCCAUAAACAUAGCCAUUAAAUUCCUUAGAGAGGACUUGAUAAGAAAAAAUUAGAAAAGCAAACAUGGACUUUUCAGAGGGAGUUUUGUUUGUUGGUUGGUUUUAAAUCUAUAAUAGUGCACUGUUACCUGUCAAAGCAAAACCAAAACAAAUAACAACAGCCAACCCCUAACCCAGCAGAACCCAACACAACACAAAUCAACAGCAAAAGCAAAAGCAAAAAUAUAUCAGCUAAUGUUGAACAGGAUCUUCUCUAUUGGCAGGAACUGCAGUUAAAGCCCCAAAUUACAGACAGAUUGUACAGAGUACCUGCCAGCAAUUUGGCCAACCAUAUCCCCAGAAGGCUUUUAGACAGCUGGCAGGAGAGAGAAAGGCAGCCCUACUAUCUGCCACCCCCACCAUCACUCCAACAGGGAGACUCUGAAGUAAGAGACUGCUUAAGAGAAUCCUGAGUUUGUGAAGUGAGAUUUUUUUCCUCUCAAUCCUUGCCUUGGGAAUAGGGUUUGAAUUGUUUCUAAUUCAUUUUCUAUAAUCUGAGGAACAAAGGUAAGAAUUGUUCAGGGUAGAGCUCCUACAAGACAGAAAGAUAGGAAGUUCACCUGUUUGAACAGUCAGCAAGUAUACUUACUCCCUGAGCUACACAUGUACUAUUUUUUUUUGACAGGCAGAGUGGACAAUGAGAGAAAGACAGACAGAAAGGUCUUCCUUUACCGUUGGUUCAUCCUCCAAUGGCCGCUGUGGCCGGAGCACUGCUGCCAGAGCGCUGUGGCCGGCGCACCGCGCUGAUCCAAAGCCAGGAGCCAGGUGCUUCUCCUGGUCUCCCAUGUGGGUGCAGGGCCCAAGAACUUGGGCCAUCCUCCACUGCACUGCCAGGCCACAGCAGAGAGCUGGACUGGAAGAGGGGCAACUGGGAUAGAAUCCAGCGCCCCAACCGGGACUAGAACCCAGUGUGCUGGCACCACAGGCGGAGGAUUAGCCUAUUGAGCCACGGCGCCGGCCUCACAUGUACUAUUAAGGCUGUGAGAACCUAGAAGAAAUUGAAGAUAGAUGUUUUUGGUGAACUUCCAGGUGCAAAAAAUGUCAGGAUUAUUCCAUAUCUGGAGAGUUCUAGAAUUUGAAACAAACAGUAGAUGGUGAAAGUUUGGGGUUUGGGGAUCCAGUUCCAAGUAUAUCAUGAUGCAUCCAGUAGGAACUUAAGUCCAAGCACCAGGAGUGACCAGGAAUGAUACAAGAGUGAGCCCUUUGUCACCAAGGCCUGUUGGACCCACUACUGUCACCUUAAAUGCAAGCAAGGAACAUGUACCCCUUUCCAUCUCCCUCAUCUGAAUCCCAGAAUCUGAAUAGCUUGUACCCAUAUAGACUGAGGAAGAGCCUACUUCUGCCCCCAGUUCAGGGACAGUUUAUCCCUGACUCAGGCAACUCUGCAGGACCAUUUCAUCUCAGGAGAUCCCAUUGGGAUAGGCAGAGGCCCUGUUGCUACUGCAUCUUACUUCAACUUCUUUUAAACCAGGGAUGAGCCUUUUCUAUAGCUUACUGGCCAGAUCUGCUUUGCUGCUUGUUUUUGUUUUGUUUAGACUGUGAGUUAAGGGUUAUUUUUAUAUUUUUAAAUUAUUGAAAAAAUAAGCAAGAAAAUGAUAUUUUGUGAUCCUUAACAUUAUAUGAAAUUCAAUUUAAUUGUCCAUAAGUGAACUUUUAUUGCAACACACACAAGCUUAAUCAUUUAAGUAUUUUCUAUGGGUGCAUUUGUGUUAUAAUAAUAGCAUUGAAUAGUUGCCACAAAAGCUGUUUUUUCCUACAGAACCAGGUUCUUUAUAAUAACCAAGUACAGGGCCGGCGCCGUGGCUCAAUAGGCUAAUCCUCCGCCUAGCGGCGCCGGCACACCGGGUUCUAGUCCCAGUCGGGGCGCCGGAUUCUGUCCCGGUUGCCCCUCUUCCAGGCCAGCCCUCUGCUGUGGCCAGGGAGUGCAGUGGAGGAUGGCCCAGGUGCUUGGGCCCUGCACCCCAUGGGAGACCAGGAAAAGCACCUGGCUCCUGGCUCCUGCCAUCGGAUCAGCGCGGUGCACCGGCCGCGGCGGCCAUUGGAGGGUGAACCAACGGCAAAAAGGAAGACCUUUCUCUCUGUCUCUCUCUCUCACUGUCCACUCUGCCUGUCAAAAAAAAAAUACGGAAAGAAGAUGAGACACCACACAGACAUGGGCCCUCUUUGUUGGGGUUUCAGUCUGCAAACAUUGUCUUCCUAACAUCGUCUGCAGACAUGGUCCUGCCAGCAAGCAAGCACCCCCUUGCUCUCCUUGGAAACUGCAGGGGAACUGGAAGUGCCUUCCCACUCUCUACUUAUUCUGUCUGGAUGCUUUUCUCAGCUCCUUUUCUCCACAGCUACAAAUCUCAUCUCCAGGAUCCUGAAGAUCUUCACUAAAAUGUCUUCUCAAUGAGGCCUUCCCUGGUCACAUUUUCCAAACUAAUCCCCCUUCCCAACACUCCCCAUUUAUCCCUUUCCACCUUAUUUUUAUUGAUGACAGUUCUUUUUCUAAAAAUUUAUUUAUUUAUUUAUUUGAGCCACAGAGAGAGGGAGGGAGAGAGG